AACAUGUAACGCCAUGGGGGUAGGAAGCCUGGAACUAUUCUCCGGUACUUCGGAACACUAGCAGAAGCCAGGCAGUGCCUCCAAGAACCCAAGGGGAAAGCAACCUUGAACACAACAGGGCAACAACAACCCAUUUGCCUUAUGUUCUUCUCCACUCAGAGGUCCCAAGUAUAUGUGAGCAAGCAAGCAAGCAAAACCCAAAGCAGAAUAACAAAGCCAUACUGUGACAGAAUAAAGAACGUCUUUGCUGAGAGAAACUUCCAAAUACACCGGAGAGCUUGCUUUCAUGUUAUCCCAUGUGUGGACAAGGUAGGACUGAAAUACACCAUCAGCUGCCUGUGGAAGAGACCUCAGAAGAGACCAUGGAUUUUUCACAACUUGAUCUUUCAUUUUCUAUCUCCAGAACGCUUGUUGAAGCCACUUGGCCUGAUUUUGUCAUGCUAGAUCAAACUGACUAGGAUCAAUAAAUCACACCAUUCAAUGAUGGCAUAUUCUACAUUAUUCCUAAGCUCGCAUAGAACAUUUACCAAUAGCAGUAGACUCUGCAGAAGGAGAAGCACCUUAACAAAUUUAA